CAGGUGGUGCCACAAGAUCUAAUUAAAGUUAGCUGUCAAUUAGGUGCAUGCAAACCCUUUGAUCUCACUACAGUGCCCUUUUGCAUGUCCCUUUGCUGCAUCAAAUCUGUGGACUAACGUCCAGACUUGUGGAGAGUAACAUUGCAGCUGCUGUGAUCCUCAUCUUGUCAGUAUAUGCUUCUGGCCUUUAUUUGGGAGGUAUAUAACCAAGAUGAUGACAUACAUUGUUCCUGAUUCACUCCUCACAAGAAAAACAACUAAAACCCACUCAAGAACAGGACACCACUGAGGGCAUCCUGGAACAUGCAGUGAUAUUUGGAGUAACUAGAUUCAAACUGCAUGAGAGUCAGCCAUACAAAAUACCAAAGCUCAAGGGGA
rnacentral:lncRNA from 12 species